rnacentral:rRNA from 1 species
AUACGGAGGAUCCGAGCGUUAUCCGGAUUUAUUGGGUUUAAAGGGUGCGUAGGUGGUUUAAUAAGUCAGCGGUGAAAGUUUGCAGCUUAACUGUAAAAAUGCCGUUGAAACUGUUAGACUUGAGUGUAAAUGAGGUAGGCGGAAUGCGUGGUGUAGCGGUGAAAUGCUUAGAUAUCACGCAGAACUCCGAUUGCGAAGGCAGCUUACCAAGCUACAACUGACACUGAAGCACGAAAGCGUGGGGAUCAAACAGGAUUAGAUACCCUGGUAGUCCACGCAGUAAACGAUGAUUACUAGCUGUUUGCGAUACACAGUAAGCGGCACAGCGAAAGCGUUAAGUAAUCCACCUGGGGAGUACGCCGGCAACGGUGAA